rnacentral:lncRNA from 1 species
CUUUAGUUUGUGUUGACUUGAUUCUCCUUUAUUACUUUACAACCACAUGGGAGAGGCUGCUUUUGCUAGUAUGAUUUUGUUUCAAAAAGUUUUAAUCUGGUGCAAACCACCUCUAGUGGUUUUCCUUUGGAUAUGAGUGUAAACCAUUACAAAUAGUAAAUUUUAAUCCAUCUGUUAAAAAUAACACCUUAUGUAACAUUUGGCUGUAAGCACAACAAUAAAAAGGAUGUAAGUAUUUAUUUUAUGUCACACUAAAUUAGUUUGAUCUUUACCCCUAGUUAUUUUCUUUUGGAAUGGUUAUUAGAUUCUUGCACAAUCCAACUGUAAGCCACAUUGCAAUCUAAAAUAGAAGUCAGCGUAAGUCACUUUGGGCUUAGUAAUCAAGAGGCAGUGUAUUUUAAUUUUAUUUCAUAGUAAAUUCUAAGAUCUCAGCUCUCCCAUCACUUCGCUCCCUACUUUUCAACCAAGUUUAUAUAACCAAACCAUGAAGAACAUCCUGUAACUUUCAUUACAUUCACAAAUCCCCUAAAUUCUUUAAAUGGCAUAUGUUUGUAAACACAGUCUGACAAUUCUGAUACUGUGAGAAGCACAAUAACAAUGUGGUAGUUAAGGGCACAGACAUUGAAGCCAGUUCCUUCUGUGUGACCUUGGGCUGGGAACUUACUGUGUGUCUCAGUUUCCUCAGCUGUAAAACGAAAACUACAAUAAUGUACCUACUUUACGAGGUUGUUGUGAAGAUUGAAUUUUUAUAUGUAUCUCUCUAUAUAUUUUUUACUUAGACUAAUACGGGUAUAUACUAAGUGCUAUGGAGGUAUUUGCUAAUAUUAUUUAUUCUUUCAAAGUAAAUUAGUCCUUUCCUUGUGUAUCACUGUGUCCCUUGUCAUGCUGUGCCACGUGUCAUCAUCUUGCCCCCA